GCUUGUUUGAGAGGUGUAGGAACAGCAAUAGUAGAUUCAAAAAAUGAUAUAAGGAAGGCAGCCCAUAAGUGUAUGUCAUUAAGCCAUAGUUGACAACUGGAGCUUAUUCCUACAAGACUCUAAGAAAUGGCAUAAAACACAAUUCAGAGUUGUUCCACACAAAGAGCAAGGGAGAGCCGUGAUCAGCUGCCAAAACAAAGGAAUAGAAAUGGAAGAGUUAGAGGUAGUGUUAUGCUAGAGCUGCCCCUCAGCGAGCUGAUUUUAAAGCUUGAAAUCGGCCAUGGAUAAAUUCCCAGAAGUGGAAGACAUUGCCAAGUUUUUCUUCAGAAAGAUGGAUGAAUUCUUGGCCUGAAAAAGGGGAAUCAAAAGACCUGCUUUCCUAUGCUUCAGCAGCAAUGUCUAUUUCUCAAGAUGCUGAAAAAGAUGAUUUAGAGUUUUAUGAUUAAUGGAAGGGAGGAAUCUACUCUAAAGAAAUUGG